rnacentral:lncRNA from 10 species
GUUUCGUUAGCAGAAAACCUUUUCAAGGCGUCUUUGGAAGUCACAUUGGAUAACUCCUGAUGCCUGCGCCAAGUGGAAUCUUCCUUUGGGGCAUUUUCUAGAAGGAUCCCUCCUUCCUUCUCUGCAAAAGGGAACCGUCCCCCCGAAAGGGCCUGGGCCUUUGGGAAAAGGGGUUUAGAAAGCCAGGCGCGGGGACCCUUCUUUGGGGGCGGUGGCCGCAUCCCAGGAUCCCUUCCUAGGGGAGGCCUGGGCCCAGAUGUGAGGCUGGGGGCCUCUCCCCAGGGCUCAGGGCCCCAGGAAUGCAGGGCCAAGGGGGCCCAUGAGCCUGCGGCCCCCCACCCCGAAGCCAGGAACCCCGGCAAAUGAGUCCAGCCGGACAGUCCCGCGCUCAGGGCGGCGGCCGGCGGCGGGGUCAGGCUGGGGUCUGCCCGGCGACCUCGCGCCUGGCCCGCGAGUUCAGGUGCCCCGGAGCCAGGGAGGGAGCGGGGCGCGGAGCCGGGCGGGGAGGGCAGGGGUCACCGGGCGGGGCAGGAGCAGCGAUGGG